rnacentral:rRNA from 1 species
GACGAACGCUGGCGGCGUGCUUAACACAUGCAAGUCGAACGGAAAGGCCCUGCUUUUGUGGGGUGCUCGAGUGGCGAACGGGUGAGUAACACGUGAGUAACCUGCCCUUGACUUUGGGAUAACUUCAGGAAACUGGGGCUAAUACCGGAUAGGAGCUCCUGCUGCAUGGUGGGGGUUGGAAAGUUUCGGCGGUUGGGGAUGGACUCGCGGCUUAUCAGCUUGUUGGUGGGGUAGUGGCUUACCAAGGCUUUGACGGGUAGCCGGCCUGAGAGGGUGACCGGCCACAUUGGGACUGAGAUACGGCCCAGACUCCUACGGGAGGCAGCAGUGGGGAAUAUUGCACAAUGGGCGGAAGCCUGAUGCGGCAACGCCGCGUGCGGGACGACGGCCUUCGGGUUGUAAACCGCUUUCGCCUGUGACGAAGCGUGAGUGACGGUAAUGGGUAAAGAAGCACCGGCUAACUACGUG